AAUCAACGCUGGCGGCGUGCCUAACACAUGCAAGUCGCACGAGAAAGGGGAGCAAUCCCUGAGUACAGUGGCGCACGGGUGAGUAACACGUGACUAACCUACCCUCGAGUGGGGAAUGACCUAGGGAAACCUGGGCUAAUACCGCAUAACACUUACGGGUCAAAGCAGCAAUGCGCUUGGGGAGGGGGUCGCGGCCGAUUAGCUAGUUGGCGGGGUAAUGGCCCACCAAGGCAAUGAUCGGUAUCCGGCCUGAGAGGGCGCACGGACACACUGGAACUGAAACACGGUCCAGACUCCUACGGGAGGCAGCAGUGGGGAAUUUUGCGCAAUGGGGGAAACCCUGACGCAGCAACGCCGCGUGGAGGAUGAGGUCUCUUGGGACGUAAACUCCUUUCGAUCGGGACGAUAAUGACGGUACCGAUAG
rnacentral:rRNA from 1 species